rnacentral:rRNA from 1 species
UGGGGAAUAUUGCACAAUGGGGGAAACCCUGAUGCAGCGACGCCGCGUGAGCGAAGAAGGCCUUCGGGUCGUAAAGCUCUGUCCUAAGGGAAGAAGAGGACGGUACCUUAGGAGGAAGCCCCGGCUAACUACGUGCCAGCAGCCGCGGUAAUACGUAGGGGGCGAGCGUUAUCCGGAAUUACUGGGCGUAAAGGGUGCGUAGGCGGCCUUUUAAGUCAGAUGUGAAAGGCUACGGCUUAACCGUAGUUAGCAUUUGAAACUAAGAGGCUUGAGUGCAGGAGAGGAGAGUGGAAUUCCUAGUGUAGCGGUGAAAUGCGUAGAUAUUAGGAGGAACACCAGUGGCGAAGGCGACUCUCUGGACUGCAACUGACGCUGAGGCACGAAAGCGUGGGUAGCGAACAGG